ACGAACGCUGGCGGCGUGCUUAACACAUGCAAGUCGAACGGAAAGGCCCUGCUUGCAGGGUACUCGAGUGGCGAACGGGUGAGUAACACGUGGGUGAUCUGCCCUGCACUUCGGGAUAAGCCUGGGAAACUGGGUCUAAUACCGGAUAGGAGCCAUUUUUAGUGUGAUGGUUGGAAAGUUUUUUCGGUGUAGGAUGAGCUCGCGGCCUAUCAGCUUGUUGGUGGGGUAAUGGCCUACCAAGGCGGCGACGGGUAGCCGGCCUGAGAGGGUGGACGGCCACAUUGGGACUGAGAUACAGCCCAGACUCCUACGGGAGGCAGCAGUGGGGAAUAUUGCACAAUGGGCGCAAGCCUGAUGCAGCGACGCCGCGUGGGGGAUGACGGCCUUCGGGUUGUAAACUCCUUUCGCUAGGGACGAAGCUUUUUGUGACGGUACCUAGAUAAGAAGCACCGGCUAACUACGUG
rnacentral:rRNA from 1 species